rnacentral:rRNA from 1 species
UACGUAGGGGGCUAGCGUUGUCCGGAAUCAUUGGGCGUAAAGCGCGCGUAGGCGGCCCGGUAAGUCCGCUGUAAAAGUCAAAGGCUCAACCUUUGAAUGUCAGUGGAUACUGCCGGGCUAGAGUCCGGAAGAGGCGAGUGGAACUCCUGGUGUAGCGGUGGAAUGCGCAGAUAUCAGGAAGAACACCGACGGCGAAGGCAGCUCGCUGGGACGGUACUGACGUUGAGGCGCGAAAGCGUGGGGAGCGAACAGG